AGAAAUAAAGCAUCAUAUAGAUGCUCAAGGCAAAAAAACAUCUAGUUGGUUGAGAUAUAUCAACUGUGCACGGACAAUUGAUGAAGAGAAUUUAAACGUGUAUCAAUAUAACUAUGAGAUAUAUUACGUAACUAACCAAUGUAUAAAACCUGGCACAGAGUUAUUGGUUUGGUAUGGUGAUUCCUAUGGUGAUUCAUUAGGUCUAAAAAGGACAGACGAUGAUUACGAUUACGCUGAUUUGUCUGGGAAAAAAAUCAAUUUUGGAACUGUGAAUACAAUAAAUGAACCCUUCCAAAGAUAUAGCUCAAGUUGUUUUAAACUGUACGAACAAGAACCAUUUCAAAAACCAGGUUACUCAGAAUUCUGUAUCGUUGAAAGGAACUUUGAACUAUGCAAGUUUGUUCUUUGUGAAAGAAAUCCAUGCUCAAAACAGUUUGACUGCAAUCAGUGUAAAGGAUAUUGUUUUCAUUUCGGAAGAUACAUAAAGAUAAAUCAAGAAUUCGUACAUACAGAUAACGUGAAUGAAUGUAAAUGUCAUCUGACCGGAAGCUGGCAUUGCACAGAUGAACGUGUCAGCGUUGACGAUAUUUGUCCAUACUGAAUGUUUUUCAAGACUUUGUGAAGAAUGUUGGAUGUGAUAUUCCAGUCUUACGCCGUGGAAUAUUGCUAGAUAUCAUGUAUUUGUAAUG